AUGAACGCUGGCGGCGUGCCUAAUACCUGCAAGUCGAGCGAACAGACGAGGAGCUUGCUCCUCUGACGUUAGCGGCGGACGGGUGAGUAACACGUGGAUAACCUACCUAUAAGACUGGGAUAACUUCGGGAAAACGGAGCUAAUACCGGAUAAUAUAUUUAACCGCAUGGUUCAAUAGUGAAAGACGGGUUUGCUGUCACUUAUAGAUGGAUCCGCGCCGCAUUAGCUAGUUGGUAAGGUAACGGCUUACCAAGGCAACGAUGCGUAGCCGACCUGAGAGGGUGAUCGGCCACACUGGAACUGAGACACGGUCCAGACUCCUACGGGAGGCAGCAGUAGGGAAUCUUCCGCAAUGGGCGAAAGCCUGACGGAGCAACGCCGCGUGAGUGAUGAAGGUCUUCGGAUCGUAAAACUCUGUUAUUAGGGAAGAACAAAUGUGUAAGUAACUAUGCACGUCUUGACGGUACCUAAUCAGAAAGCCACGGCUAACUACGUG
rnacentral:rRNA from 1 species